GAAACGACUCUCGGCUACGGAUAUCUCGGCUCUUGCAUCGAUGAAGAACGUAGCGAAAUGCGAUACUUGGUGUGAAUUGCAGAAUCCCGUGAACCAUCGAGUCUUUGAACGCAAGUUGCGCCCGAAGCCACUAGGCCGAGGGCACGCCUGCCUGGGUGUCACAC
rnacentral:rRNA from 1 species